GGCCGGUUAACUCAGUUGGGUAGAGCGUCGCGCUAAUAACGCGAAUGUAGUGGAUUCGAGUCCCAUACUGGCCA